AUGAACUACUAGAAGGAGAGUAUGCAAAAAAUCAACAAGAGCUCCCUGUAACAAUCACGAGUAUGCCAUAUCGAAUACGCCCUUGAAAUUUGAAUUACCCAUAAUUCUCCGCAAAUAGCUCAGUGGCGCUCGAACAAUAGUGGCCGGGUCAUUUCCAGCAGAGUCGCCAUGUAAGACAGACGGGUACAUUGUCACAGCGGGCUAAUAUCUUCAUUCGUUCAAGAAUUCAAUUUUAGUUAGGGAACUUAUGACUUGGGCACGGAUAGCAGACCGUGCGUCAUAUCUGUGAUGAUGAUGAUCGUGAUGGUGACUUCAUCGUGGUGAUGAUAAUUGUGACGAUGGUGAUGAUAUCAACGUGGAUUGUCUCGGACAUCCUAUACCAUUCCCAGCUUUGGAUAUAAAGCCCGGAAGGACUGGAGGGAUUGGGUGUGACAUCUACAGUUUGAUGUGACUUUUUGUGAUACAAAACGAUCCAUUCUAUUGGCAAUUUAAUUUUCCCGGGUUUUCUUUUGUUUGAAUUUUUAUACAUAUACGAUAGGUACUGUUUUCCUGUUAUCGUGAAUAUUAGUUUUUUGUUUUUUUUUGGUAGGUGUGUGAUUGGUGUGAGACUGUUACCUAUAUAUCUUCCUUUUAUUUGAAAAUAAUUUUUUUUCAAUAAUUCUUCA